UCUCUGCGCCCCACCGCCCUCCUCCCCCUCACCGGCCGCGUCGCUCCCUCCGCAGUGGCCAUAGCCCCCUCCCCGCACCCGGCCUCCCUCGUCGCCGCGCACGGCGGGGUCGUCACCAGCUUUGACGCCGCGCUCGCCUCCCGCACCAGCGUCCUAACGCCGCUCCCCACCAUCGACUCGCUCGUCGCGGUGUCCCCCGCUCUCGCCCUCGCUGGCGCCCGCGACUUUCCUGGCGUCCAGCUCUGCCGGUUCCUGGCCGACGCCCCUGCCACAGCUUCGGAGGCUCUAUAUUGGCCAGACUCGCCUUCUUCUUCUGUGCUCUCUAUGGCGGCCUCAGAAGCGGCAUCACACUGGCUCUUUGCCAGCUUCGAGUCAGCGAGACGGAAUUCGAGCGCCGUGGUGGCGUUCGAUCUGAAUUCUCUGUCACCUGUGGUGGAAAUUGGGCGGAAGGAGGUGUUUGGUGCGGACGUUGAGGCAGCAAUACCACCGACCAAGCUCGCUUGGCUUGCUGGGCACAGUCUCUUGCUUGCCGCUGGGUCACACUCCGGGCCGGCUGGAAUGGUGGGUGACAUACGCCUGUGGGACGUCCGGGCAAGCUCGACGGUGCCGGUGUGGGAGGUGAGAGAGAAGGAGGACUGCUUUGCAGAUGUUACUGCAUCAGACUCGCUGUCAGCAUUGUUUAAGGUGGGGGCUGCCUCAGGUGAGGUUUUCAUGGCUGACUUGAGGAGACUUAGUGGUAAUGGCACCAGUGUUGAUCCUUGGGUGUGCAUCGGAGACCGACAAAGGGCGGGAGCUGCCACAGCAUCUCGCAGGAAGGAUGGAAAUAACUGUAGAAUUGAGUGCUACCGUAAUUGGGUGUUUGUGGCACGGGACGCAUAUGUUGAGGUGUGGACACAGGUGGAAAUUACAUCAGAGGCUGGGGAGAAGAAGGUGAUGAGGAAAAACUGGGUAGGGAAUGGGCCAUCGAUGGUCACUGCAGACGGCGAGGAGAAGGCCAAGAUUGUGAGCUGGGCCUUCGGAGGCAGCAGGAUGGCAUUGGCUAGAGUUGAUCAGCGGUCUAUUGAGGUGUGGGAUAGUGCUUCUGGGGCAAUAUCAGGUAACCGCUGA
rnacentral:rRNA from 1 species